UCUCCCAGCUCAGGCUGCUCAGGUCGCUCUGGAACGAGCUCAGCAUCUGCUCCAUGCGCUGGGGGGACAUUUGGGGUCACUUGGGGACAUUUGGGGACUUUUUGGGACAGUUUGGGGACAUUUGGGGCCAUUUUGGGGCAAUUAGGAGACAUUUCGGGGCAAUUUUGAGGCCAUUUUGGGCCACUCUGGAGCCAUUUUGGGACCAUUUGAGGCCGUUUAGAGGCACUUUGGGAUCAUCUGGGGACACUUUGGGAUCAUUUGGGGACACUUUGGGGACAUUUUGGGGACAUUUGGGAUCAUUUUGGGGCCGUUGGGGGUCAUUUUGGCACCAUUUUGGGCCACUCUGGACCCAUUUUGGGACCAUUUGAGGCCAUUUAGAGACACUUUGGGAUCAUUUGGGGACAGUUUGGGGACAUUUUGGGGUAGUUUGGGGCUAUUUGGGGUCACUUUGGGACACUUUGGGGUCAUUUGGGGGCCAUUUUGGGGCUAUUUUGGGGCUAUUUGGAGACAUUUUGGGGCCAUUCUGGGGCCAUUUUGGAGCCAUUUGGGGCCAUUCGGAGACACUUUGGGAUCAUUUGGGGACACUUUGGGGUCAUUUGGGGCCAUUUGGGGACAUUUUGGGAUCAUUUGGGGACAUUUUGGGAUCAUUUGGGGACAUUUUGGGGCCGUUCUGGCGCCAUUUUGGGACCAUUUGAGGCCAUUCAGAGACACUUUGGGAUCAUUUGGGGACAUUUGGGGACAGUUUGGGGCUAUUUGGGGACACUUUGGGACACUUUGGGGUCAUUUGGGGGCCAUUUUGGGGCUAUUUGGAGACAUUUUGGGGCUAUUUGGAGACAUUUUGGGGCCAUUCUGGGGCCAUUUUGGAGCCAUUUUGGGCCAUUUAGAGACACUUUGGGAUCAUUUGGGGACACUUUGGGACAGUUUGGGGACAUUUGGGGCAGUUUGGGGACAUUUGGGGCAGUUUGGGGACAUCUGGGGACACCUUGAACCCAUUUUGGGCCAUUUUGAGACAUUUUGGGGCCAUUUUGGGCGGUUUAGGGGC
rnacentral:lncRNA from 1 species